rnacentral:rRNA from 1 species
UACGAAGGGAACUAGCGUUGUUCGGAAUCACUGGGCGUAAAGCGGGCGCAGGCGGACUAUCAAGUCAGAGGUGAAAGCCCAAGGCUUAACCUUGGAAUUGCCUUUGAAACUGAUAGUCUGGAGUAUGUGAGGGGAUAGCGGAAUUCCAAAUGUAGAGGUGAAAUUCGUAGAUAUUUGGAGGAACACCGGUGGCGAAGGCGGCUAUCUAGCACAUAACUGACGCUGAGGUCCGAAAGCGUGGGGAUCAAACAGG